GCUGCCCGAGUUGUAAUCUAUAGAAACGUUUUCCGCGUUGGCCCAUGUACAAGUCUCCUGGAAUGGAGCGUCAUAGAGGGUGAGAAUCCCGUCCUUGACAUGGACUACCAGUGCUUUGUGAUACGUUUUCAAAGAGUCGAGUUGUUUGGGAAUGCAGCUCAAAAUGGGUGGUAAAUUCCAUCUAAAGCUAAAUAUUGGCGAGAGACCGAUAGCGAACAAGUACCGUGAGGGAAAGAUGAAAAGCACUUUGGAAAGAGAGUUAAACAGUAUGUGAAAUUGUUGAAAGGGAAACGAUUGAAGUCAGUCAUGUCUAUUGGACUCAGCCGGUUCUGCCGGUGUACUUCCUUUAGAUGGGGUCAACAUCAGUUUUGAUCGCUGGAAAAGGGCAGGAGGAAUGUAGCACUCUCGGGUGAACUUAUAGCCUUCUGUCGUAUACAGUGGUUGGGACUGAGGAACGCAGCAUGCCUUUAUGGCCGGGGUUCGCCCACGUACAUGCUU
rnacentral:rRNA from 1 species